GGGAGCCGGCGCUUGAAAUGAGCAGGCCUCCCGGUUUGCCUCCGCGGCGUGCCGGGCGCCGGUCUCGGCUCCUCGGGUCCGAAAACAAAUGAAAUAUCCGGUUGGUCCUCAGGGGUGCCGUAGACUCGUGGUGUAGAGAAAGCAUUGGGACGGAUUCACGUAACCGCUGUUCAUCAGGCCGUGUGGACCAGACUCGCCCCCGGCACCCGGCACGUCUCCAGAGCCACCUUCUGCGCCCGGCCGCCACCUUGCCUCUGGGACCAUGAGUGGACCGCACACGCCCUCUGUGGCAGCUCUGGGUCUUGCCCUGGCUGAUGGGCUGCAGAACGAAGGGUAUCAGGCCAGGGCUGCCACCCCGAAGUGAAGAAAUGAGUGGUCCCCACAAACAAGAGGCCACGGAGGGUGAGCCCCAGGAGCUGAGGGGAGCGUCGUGAUACCUUGCUGCCCUUCAUCUCUCUGUGCAGACCCUCUGUCCCCCCAAAGGAUGCUGGUGGCGUGAGAGUUUUGUCCCCCGUGGCGUCCCUUCAUGUGACGGGGGACAGGGAGGAGGCUUUCUGUGGCUGCGGCAGCUGACCCAUGACGCAUUUACGCGAGUACGAGCGGCCCCGGGUGCCCGGACACCUGCCACUUUCAGCACCAGGAGAGAGAACAGAGCAGAUCUCACCUGGGCCACCCUCAGAGUCUCUCUCUCAUCACAGCCUUUGCCGCUUUAUCGCUUUCCUUCCUGUUUUCACACGUUACUUCCGUCUUCCUGGACACGCUGUUGCUGCAUGGGAGCCGGCGUCCGACGUGUCUGCUGGGACUCCGUGCUCUCGUGGUGCGCCUUCCUCGGCCUCACGGGCUUGUGCUCUCAUCUGCUCAGGAUUACCCUCAACACUGGCCCUGGGCGGCUUGUGCUUACCUAGUCUGUACCGCGAGACGAACCAUGUGUGUCCUCCAGGCUCGGGAUGGGCUCCCACCCCUGCUCCUUCCCUCUUGUUCGCACCACGUUGGCUCGGGCGCUGCAGGAAAUGCAAAUGAGUUGAGGGAGAAGGAGCCGUUUGUCCUCACAGUGGACCGACAGCCAGGGCGGCCAGUCUGUGCUGACCCCCAGGCGCCCGCGGCCUCUUUGUAAUUCAGCGUGGACGGGAUUACCUCGGUCUGUCCUGGGGUUCCCGUGUCCUCGUCCGGGAAGUGGGGACAGCGUCUGCAGAUGAACCACGCACCUGAGAGCCCGUCACCUGACCCGGUGUUUGUCCACACUCCUUCCACCCGUGGGUUGAUACUUUCCAUCGGAUUUGGAAACCGUCAGCGCCGAUUGCUUCAAGUGUUUUUCUGCUUUCCUCCUCUUUCCCCUGGGACUCUAACCACACGUAUCCUCCAGUGAUUGACGGUGUCCCACGGCUCGCUGAUGCCCUGUUCAUCUUUUUUGUUUGUUUUCUUUUCUUUUUUUUAGGUAUUUUGGUAGUUUCUAUCCCCAUUUUUCAUCU